rnacentral:piRNA from 1 species
CCUGCAUGUAUAUCUGGGCACUGUAUGUGU